CUUUUACAUGCUUUAAAUACCUUAAAGUAGGCAGAAUCUCAAAUAGUGCAAGGAUGCGUAUUGCCCUAUGGCAACAGUGAGUGGCGACAGUGAGCUGUUAUGGAGCUGUCCAGACUUUUCCUCCCUCCAGUGAGUGCCAGCUGUCCUUGCAUGGAGUCCUGGUUCCUUUGGUGGAGAAUGGUGUUGAAAAUCUCAGCCUUUGCGGCGGAGAGCGGGGACAUGGGACACAGGGGAGUUGGUGGUGGGCAGAGAUGCUGCUGGGCCACUUUCAGUGACAAAACAUGACAGCAAAGGCUCUUGAAGUCAGUGCAGACACCUUCAGGGAUACAACCCCUUCGACCAGGGCUGUGCCAGCAACUGGUAUUUAACAAUUUGUGCACCACUGGGACCCAAGUACAUGGCUGAAGCUGUCCAGCUGCAGAGAGUGGUGGGGCCUGACUGGACAUCCAUG
rnacentral:lncRNA from 10 species